GCCGGCCGCAGGAAGGGCGGGAUAGACGCGCGGGUAUCCCCCCUCACCCCCCGCACGAAUACAGCAGUGAACCCACUCCCAGAAAAUGAACAAACCCAGAGCUGGACUUUUUGCCUGCUGGGAGAAAUAUCAUCUGGAAUAGUAGCUGGUGAGAAGUUUAUACUUGGAGUUUUCGAAGGGCCUUAUCCGACUCUGAAGUCAGCAGAAACAGGAAUAGGCCACGGACUUUCAGAAUAAAAGAUGAACACACAUUGGUGAAUCCAUGGCAGGCUUCAGUGGGAUGAGAACUGCAUGGGGCCUCUCAGAGAACUCAAGGAUUUGGUGAGCUUUAUACACUUCUACAUUGAAGCUAUUGUGUGAUUCACAGCUUGGACAAUGGGAUAGCCUCAUUAUCCAGUGGCUCAUAGUUUUUGAUUCCCAGCCUGCAAAUAUUCGAUGCUCAGAGUAUCUAUGAAAUUAAGGACUAAGACCUGGAAAUAUGAAGAUAAUACAUGUUUGGAGCAACCCUUCUUUUAUUAGUGUCAUAAAGUGUUUGACUUCAGUCACAGAAAGGUUCGGGGCCACACUUGACUCAUAUUUUAAAAUGGCAGUUUUUAUAAAUAUUGACUCCAUACUAAUAGAAAGCACUUUUACUGUUCAGUGUGGAUGCUGCCUUGUAUCUGAGAAUUUGACCUCCCUGUUGAGCUAAACUCAGCUUUCUCUAAUUAUCCCACUGCCAGCCCAGGGAUUACUGGCAUGAGUAAUCUAAGCAGGACUUGGCCUACUAAAUGAAAAAUGUCAAAGGCAGCAAGAGGGAAGGGAGUCACAAGGAAGCUCUGCAAAGUUCUUAGAGUCACUUGGUGACAUCACCAACGAAUCCAAACCGUGAUCAAAGCAACCGCCAGCACUGGGGAACAACAGACUCACAGAGGAAGGAAACAAGUCAGAGGCAAUCUCAGCUUGAAAAUGAUUGUAGUUUUGUUAUCAGUUUCAAGCUAAUAAUAGCAAUACUUCUGGCAUCAGAAUUUCCCUGGCUUUCCUAAGAAUAACUACUGCAUAAAGAUGAGACUUAAGAGGCAGCUUACACUUACGAACUGGCAUAAGAUGCUGAAGUUCCCGUCUGCAGCACGUUGACCCUGCCACAGAGCGAUUUCACCUCAAGACUGACCAUGCAGCAGGCUGAUGGGUCAGCACUGGCUCUCCUGCAAUCACUGGUGGAUGACGUGAGAAAUGGCCUGUCAUUCCCUGCAGGGAUUCCAAAGGUCACGGGAGAACACCCAGUGAAAGGACCUGGCACUCCUGCUUGCUGAGGAGGGAAAACACCACUCCUCAGUGUUGUCCCACCUGCCGAGUCCCUUAACGUCAAAGGGCAUUACACAAGAGGAAAGAGAGGAUGGACGUGAGGUGAAGGCAGGUACACAUAAACAACAUACCUCAAAGAGUUUCAUUUUCUGGAGGCAGAAGAAGAAAAACCAGUUAACGCACCAAAUGCAGAGAAUCAACUUUCUGGAAGGAGGAUGGCGCUGUUGAGGUAAGCACUUCUUUUCUGUUGGGGACAAGAGAUAGACCCCACUUGCCUGACAAAAGUGUCACUGUCACCGAUUAUCUAGCACAAAAUCCUCCUAGAUGUUAGUAGCAGGAGGUGAAUGACAGCAUGCUGUAAUUGCCAAUACACUUCCUCAGAUUGUCCUUCCACAGAUUUUGGACGAUGCAGGCAUAAAUAACUAAUUUUCUAUUCACCUCCAUGAACAGAAGUGAGGCAGAGUAAACAAUCAUGUGGACUGUCCCCUGCCGGGUGACAAGCUCUCAGUUUCUUUUUCCUUUUUAAGUGGCUGUUCACUGAACUUUUUCUGGCAUUUCAGAGGUCACAUAGGUUGCAGGGAAUAAUAAAGCCAUUGAUAAGAAAGAAGUUUGUGUCCUCAAUCUCCCAACACCAUGAGACUGAAGAAGAAACGGAGCUAUGCCUCUCCAAUUUGCUUUUUUGGGAGGGUUUUUAUUUUAGGCUUCUGUUCUGAAGAACCAUUUUGAAGUCUGGAUAAAAAUAAUCCCUAAAACUAUUUACUCUUCUUGAUAUCAUAUGAAUAAGGUAAAGUUCUUCACUAGAGUAUACCCCGUGACAAAUAAUGCCCUAGUAAUUUUGGGUGGGGAUUUUCAUGCGGUGACUGAUGAUGCCUUGGAGAAGAGCCAUGGCGCUGUGCAUUCAGAAGCUAAGCUAUCUAAAUCCUUGCAGACCUCAUUUAUGCUUUUGGGAAUAUAGGACAGGUGUGGCAGUUACUAAACCUGGAUACUUGAGAAUUCACCUCUUAUUCCCAGGUGUGAGCCAUUAAUUCUCGCUCAGACUUGUUCAGUUCUAACAAGUCUCUUUUGAAGCAGAUUUUAUAUGUGCACAUAUACACACACAACACACAGCAUUUUCCUUUCAAGCCAUUUAUCUACUUUGUUUUUACUCAUCAUUAGCUAUGCAGCCUUACCUGACCUAACAUUUUACAUAGACAUGGCAGCAAACCCCAGUAUUGAUCAGUGACAGUCUACAAAUCCCUGUCACAUUCUGUAGAUACCAGAAGACUUGCAGUUUGCAUUGUUUACUACAAUUACCGAAGAAGUUCAGGUAAAACUCAAGCCAAGCCCCAGUGAAAUUUACAACAAUGGCUAUUCCAAUUUUAAUUGGAUCACUAGACAUCAGAGCGAAGCCAGAGAACACUCAAAUACAAACAUAAGUUGUUAAAAACUGUAAAAUCCUGUAAAAAACUGUAAAGAAAGGUGGUGCUCCUUCUUUUUGUUAGAUACUCUUCCAGAAAUCUGAACACUUUGAGGUAUUGUGACACACUUGGAGCUUCCUCCCAGACCAGGCAUUCUUCAGGGACACACUUGAUGUUUUCAAACUCAAAUACCUACAAUAAAACUUCUAAUUCCAUAUUCUGAUGUUUCUAUAGAAGGUCACUGAUAGUAACCCCAGCUGCUUCGCUUGCAUCAAAGGGACUUGUGGCUACUGAACACUAAUGAAUAUCUGGUCAUCUUUAUUUACUUAAAAUACAUUGGCCACCUUCUAGGCAGUCCUCUGGAAUGCUGUGAAGAGAGGGAUGCUGUAGUUAUAUGUUAAAUUUAAACAAACCACACAUUUUUGUGACAGUAUUUUUAUGUGCAGAGAACUGUCACAAGACAACAAAGGAUUACUCGGGGUAAUGAGAUGGCCUUCUACUUCCAAAAAUCUCAAGAGGCCACUGCCGUAGUGGUACCCAUCUCAGAUCAAAGUACCAUCCUGUGAAAUGAAACGUCAGUAUUGGAGAACCUGAGCGGGUUUGGCUUGAAGCACAAAUUCCUGACAGCAUGAGGAAUAAGCAUAGGCUGGGCAAGAGUUUCACUAAAAAAUAAAUUUAUCAUCAAGUAUUUUGCAGCUAUGAAAGAGAAGCAUCUGAUAUGUGGCUGUUAAAGAAUCCAGCCUACUAACCAGAAUAACAUACGAAAAAGUGAAACUUGCGAAAAUGGGCACAGCUUCACCUAUGGAGCUGGCUAAUUCUAAAAAUGCUAGCUAAAAGUUUCUGAUUAAAAAGUUUAUCUUCCUGAUAAAGGCAUGAAAUGAAAAUACAGCAGUUAAGGAAUUAAAUCUCAGGACAAAACUAAUGCAGAUUCUACCUAGGUGAAACCAGUCCCUCAGGCAUGAAGUGUCAAUCCCCCACUUAAAACUGUAGAGGAAGUGGGAACAGCUGUACCUGGAGAGAAGUGUGGCUACAAAAGUGACAGCCUGGGUUUCUAGUAAAAGCUAUCAUCAAUAUAUUAGUUUUCUCAGAUACUGUAAGAUUUCUGUGUUAGCCUGAUUAAUUUUGCUAUCACCCAAUAGCCUGCUGAAGAUGUAGGGGAAGGAGCAUCUUUCCCCUCAAUUUUUCCCCAUACUCCUCCAUUUGAGAAACAUUCCCUUUAUUCUGCCCAUGUCAUUGAGUAAUCUCUUUUCAGAAACCAGUAUGAGUAACUCUAGAUAUCUGGAUAACUAAUAUUUUGAUAACUGCAAAUAAGGGAAGUAGUACUGGAAGAUGCAGGACUAGAACUGGAAAUACUUAGUGGCAAGACGACUUCGCUGCAUGGAGAAAAAGAACAAAGGCAUUGGAUUUUUCCUGUAAAUGAACUCCAGGCAGUGUUACAAUAAAAUGGAUGUUUGCUAUUAGAACAGAAUGGCUCCUUUCUUUACUUAGUAUUUUCUAGAACAAAAGCGCUGCAACUUUCCAAGGCUAUAGUGAGUCAGUGCUAGAAUUAGAAGUACAAUCCUGAAAUAGCGGUCACCACUAAGCAAUGUUUCC